AUGUGCAGGCUGCAGCCUCACCACGACCGUAUGCAUGCCAGGAAUAUUAGUCACUCCAUAAUAUGUGGAGCUGAAAGGCCAGGGAUCAGCACAGGGAGAGGUGGACAAAUUAAUGGGACGAAGGGGUUGAGGGAGCAGAAUGUUUCUGAUCUCACCAGCUCAAAGACUGAUCAGAAAGAUGGCAAGAAAAGCAAAGAAGAUGUCACUGCUACUCCAAAAAAGACUGGUUCUACCGAUUGAAAACAUAUUAUCGACAAUUUCUGAUAAUCCGUCUUCUAAUAAAGAACCGACGUGCUAUGCAAAGAAGAACUGGGAUAUAUAUAACAUUCUAAAAUAGCUAGCUUUUUAAUAAAGAGAGUAGCUUGUGAGUAAGAUGCAUAAGUCUUCCUUCGAUCCGGUCUCAACGCGAAGCUCAAAGAUGUCU